GCUGGGAUACUCAAGCGGCCAACGAGGGCAGUCUGUAAAACUGCUGGCGCAAGCCUACGUAGGUUCGAAUCCUGCUCCCAGCA
rnacentral:tRNA from 1 species